GGGUUGUGAGGUUAAGCGACUAAGCGUACACGGUGGAUGCCCUGGCAGUCAGAGGCGAUGAAGGACGUGCUAAUCUGCGAUAAGCGUCGGUAAGGUGAUAUGAACCGUUAUAACCGGCGAUUUCCGAAUGGGGAAACCCAGUGUGUUUCGACACACUAUCAUUAACUGAAUCCAUAGGUUAAUGAGGCGAACCGGGGGAACUGAAACAUCUAAGUACCCCGAGGAAAAGAAAUCAACCGAGAUUCCCCCAGUAGCGGCGAGCGAACGGGGAGCAGCCCAGAGCCUGAAUCAGUGUGUGUGUUAGUGGAAGCGUCUGGAAAGGCGCGCGAUACAGGGUGACAGCCCCGUACACAAAAAUGCACAUGCUGUGAGCUCGAUGAGUAGGGCGGGACACGUGGUAUCCUGUCUGAAUAUGGGGGGACCAUCCUCCAAGGCUAAAUACUCCUGACUGACCGAUAGUGAACCAGUACCGUGAGGGAAAGGCGAAAAGAACCCCGGCGAGGGGAGUGAAAAAGAACCUGAAACCGUGUACGUACAAGCAGUGGGAGCCUCUUUUAUGGGGUGACUGCGUACCUUUUGUAUAAUGGGUCAGCGACUUAUAUUCUGUAGCAAGGUUAACCGAAUAGGGGAGCCGAAGGGAAACCGAGUCUUAACUGGGCGUUAAGUUGCAGGGUAUAGACCCGAAACCCGGUGAUCUAGCCAUGGGCAGGUUGAAGGUUGGGUAACACUAACUGGAGGACCGAACCGACUAAUGUUGAAAAAUUAGCGGAUGACUUGUGGCUGGGGGUGAAAGGCCAAUCAAACCGGGAGAUAGCUGGUUCUCCCCGAAAGCUAUUUAGGUAGCGCCUCGUGAAUUCAUCUCCGGGGGUAGAGCACUGUUUCGGCAAGGGGGUCAUCCCGACUUACCAACCCGAUGCAAACUGCGAAUACCGGAGAAUGUUAUCACGGGAGACACACGGCGGGUGCUAACGUCCGUCGUGAAGAGGGAAACAACCCAGACCGCCAGCUAAGGUCCCAAAGUCAUGGUUAAGUGGGAAACGAUGUGGGAAGGCCCAGACAGCCAGGAUGUUGGCUUAGAAGCAGCCAUCAUUUAAAGAAAGCGUAAUAGCUCACUGGUCGAGUCGGCCUGCGCGGAAGAUGUAACGGGGCUAAACCAUGCACCGAAGCUGCGGCAGCGACGCUGAUGCGUUGUUGGGUAGGGGAGCGUUCUGUAAGCCUGUGAAGGUGUGCUGUGAGGCAUGCUGGAGGUAUCAGAAGUGCGAAUGCUGACAUAAGUAACGAUAAAGCGGGUGAAAAGCCCGCUCGCCGGAAGACCAAGGGUUCCUGUCCAACGUUAAUCGGGGCAGGGUGAGUCGACCCCUAAGGCGAGGCCGAAAGGCGUAGUCGAUGGGAAACAGGUUAAUAUUCCUGUACUUGGUGUUACUGCGAAGGGGGGACGGAGAAGGCUAUGUUGGCCGGGCGACGGUUGUCCCGGUUUAAGCGUGUAGGCUGGUUUUCCAGGCAAAUCCGGAAAAUCAAGGCUGAGGCGUGAUGACGAGGCACUACGGUGCUGAAGCAACAAAUGCCCUGCUUCCAGGAAAAGCCUCUAAGCAUCAGGUAACAUCAAAUCGUACCCCAAACCGACACAGGUGGUCAGGUAGAGAAUACCAAGGCGCUUGAGAGAACUCGGGUGAAGGAACUAGGCAAAAUGGUGCCGUAACUUCGGGAGAAGGCACGCUGAUAUGUAGGUGAAGUCCCUUGCGGAUGGAGCUGAAAUCAGUCGAAGAUACCAGCUGGCUGCAACUGUUUAUUAAAAACACAGCACUGUGCAAACACGAAAGUGGACGUAUACGGUGUGACGCCUGCCCGGUGCCGGAAGGUUAAUUGAUGGGGUCAGCGCAAGCGAAGCUCUUGAUCGAAGCCCCGGUAAACGGCGGCCGUAACUAUAACGGUCCUAAGGUAGCGAAAUUCCUUGUCGGGUAAGUUCCGACCUGCACGAAUGGCGUAAUGAUGGCCAGGCUGUCUCCACCCGAGACUCAGUGAAAUUGAACUCGCUGUGAAGAUGCAGUGUACCCGCGGCAAGACGGAAAGACCCCGUGAACCUUUACUAUAGCUUGACACUGAACAUUGAGCCUUGAUGUGUAGGAUAGGUGGGAGGCUUUGAAGUGUGGACGCCAGUCUGCAUGGAGCCGACCUUGAAAUACCACCCUUUAAUGUUUGAUGUUCUAACGUUGACCCGUAAUCCGGGUUGCGGACAGUGUCUGGUGGGUAGUUUGACUGGGGCGGUCUCCUCCUAAAGAGUAACGGAGGAGCACGAAGGUUGGCUAAUCCUGGUCGGACAUCAGGAGGUUAGUGCAAUGGCAUAAGCCAGCUUGACUGCGAGCGUGACGGCGCGAGCAGGUGCGAAAGCAGGUCAUAGUGAUCCGGUGGUUCUGAAUGGAAGGGCCAUCGCUCAACGGAUAAAAGGUACUCCGGGGAUAACAGGCUGAUACCGCCCAAGAGUUCAUAUCGACGGCGGUGUUUGGCACCUCGAUGUCGGCUCAUCACAUCCUGGGGCUGAAGUAGGUCCCAAGGGUAUGGCUGUUCGCCAUUUAAAGUGGUACGCGAGCUGGGUUUAGAACGUCGUGAGACAGUUCGGUCCCUAUCUGCCGUGGGCGCUGGAGAACUGAGGGGGGCUGCUCCUAGUACGAGAGGACCGGAGUGGACGCAUCACUGGUGUUCGGGUUGUCAUGCCAAUGGCACUGCCCGGUAGCUAAAUGCGGAAGAGAUAAGUGCUGAAAGCAUCUAAGCACGAAACUUGCCCCGAGAUGAGUUCUCCCUGACUCCUUGAGAGUCCU
rnacentral:rRNA from 1 species